UANNNAAUAAGCGGAGGAAAAGAAACCAACAGGGAUUGCCUUAGUAGCGGCGAGUGAAGCGGCAAAAGCUCAAAUUUGAAAUCUGGCACCUUCGGUGUCCGAGUUGUAAUUUGAAGAUUGUAACCUUGGGGUUGGCUCUUGUCUAUGUUUCUUGGAACAGGACGUCACAGAGGGUGAGAAUCCCGUGCGAUGAGAUGCCCAAUCCUAUGUAAGGUGCUUUCGAAGAGUCGAGUUGUUUGGGAAUGCAGCUCUAAGUGGGUGGUAAAUUCCAUCUAAAGCUAAAUAUUGGCGAGAGACCGAUAGCGAACAAGUACAGUGAUGGAAAGAUGAAAAGAACUUUGAAAAGAGAGUGAAAAAGUACGUGAAAUUGUUGAAAGGGAAGGGUUUGAGAUCAGACUCGAUAUUUUGUGAGCCUUGCCUUCGUGGCGGGGUGACCCGCAGCUUAUCGGGCCAGCAUCGGUUUGGGCGGUAGGAUAAUGGCGUAGGAAUGUGACUUUGCUUCGGUGAAGUGUUAUAGCCUGCGUUGAUGCUGCCUGCCUAGACCGAGGACUGCGAUUUUAUCAAGGAUGCUGGCAUA
rnacentral:rRNA from 1 species